UUACAUGGUGGAGGUGGUGGAGCAGAGGUUCACGCCACCGCAAUCGGAAUUCCACUCAUCACAUCAUUAGAUUCCACUCCACUGCCGCCUUUUUCUUUUUCUCUCUAUACAUAUUUCCUUCUGUAUUGUAUUUGUAUUUGUAUUUGUAUGUAUCACUAUCACCUUUCUCCACAUUUCCCAAUUGGGUUUCUCCACAAAACCCCAAUCCAUGGGUAACAUCACCAGCAGCGGCGCCCACUCCCGAAGAAGGAAUUCCUCCCGCCGCAGCCACCCUCCUCCCCCGCAGCCCGAAAUCACCGCCAACCGCUACGUCUUCGCCGCCGCCACGCCCUACCCCAACCCCAAUUCAAACGCGCCGCCGCCCUACUACCACCAGUACCCCGGCUACUACGCCCCCCCGGCGGCGAUGCCGAUGCCCCUUCCCGCACCGUACGAUCACCACCACCACCACGCCAAUUGGGUUAACGGCCGGUACCCCAUGAUGCAGCCGCCGCCGCAGUAUGUGGAGCACCAGAAGGCGGUGACGAUUCGGAACGAUGUGAAUUUGAAGAAGGAAACGCUGAAGAUCGAACCCGAUGAGUACAAUCCCGGGAAAUAUCUUGUUUCCUUCACCUAUGACGCCACCGUCGCGGGAAGCAUUACAAUAAUUUUCUUUGCAAAGGAGGGUGAAGAUUGCUGCCUGACUCCAAUCAAAGAAAGCUUGCAUCCGUCGAUCAAGGUGGAUUUUGAACAAGGUUUAGCCCAGGAGUUUAAGCAACCCUCUGGAACCGGGAUAGACCUUUCAAUGUUUGAGGAGGGAGAAUUGUUGAAAGACGGGGAUGUGGACAUUUAUCCACUGGCAGUCAAAGCAGAGGCAUUGACAGAUGGUCAAAACGGAAACUCUGACAAUGGGUCCUCGAACUCCCAGAUAACUCAGGCUGUGUUUGAGAAGGAUAAAGGUGAAUAUCAUGUAAGAGUGGUGAAGCAGAUAUUGUGGGUGAAAGGCAUGAGGUAUGAGCUACAAGAGAUCUAUGGAAUUGGAAAUUCUGUCGAGGGCGAAGUUGAUGCGAACGAUCCUGGAAAGGAAUGCGUUAUAUGCCUCUCUGAACCCCGAGACACUACUGUCCUCCCUUGUCGUCACAUGUGUAUGUGCAGUGAGUGCGCAAAAGUUCUGAGGUCCCAAACAAACAGGUGCCCGAUAUGCAGACAGCCAGUGGAGCGCCUUUUAGAAAUCAAGGUCAACAAUGGAGCCGAUGAAUAAAUUAAAAUAAAAGAAAGAAAAAUAUGUGAUGCUGCAGUGCUUCUGUAAAGUUUUUCCUUUUCUUCUCCAUUGGCUCCUGGGCGAUGAUAAGGGCAGCCAUUAAGGUGGGCUCUCCUUGCUUUCGUAUUCACUGCAUUAUAUGGUCAUCUUACGUUGUUUCUGCUGGGCUUGAUUGGAGUUCCAUGGCGUGAAAUGUACUAUUUGGUACAUAUUUUUAGUCCUUACAUUAUUACAUAGUACUAUAUGUAUUUGGUGAUCUAAAAUUUAAAUAUGCAUAAGCAAGUUGUUGCUGUGGGUUGCUUGUUUCGUUUUGACAGAUUCACCAGGAAGUGAUUUCUUUUACUCUUUUAUCUUUUUGA